rnacentral:rRNA from 1 species
CACGGGGGUUGCGAGCGUUGUCCAGAAUUACUAGGCGUAAAGGGCAGGCAGGCGGAUCCAUAAGUUUAUCGUUUAAGGCGUCGGCUUAACCGGCGUAGGGCGGUAGAUACUGUGGAUCUGGAAUGCGGUUGGGGAAGACAGAAUUCCUGGUGUAGCGGUGGAAUGCGCAGAGAUCAGGAGGAAUACCGAAGGCGAAGGCAGUCUUCCAAGCCGUUAUUGACGCUCAACUGCGAAGGUGUGGGUAUCAAACAGGAUUAGAUACCCGCGUAGUCCCUGA